UAAAAGAUAAGCUAAAUUUAAGCUAAUGGGCUCAUAACCCGUAAAUGAAAUAUAACUUUCUCUUUUAA
rnacentral:tRNA from 1 species